GUGAGGAAUAUUGCACAAUGGGCGAAAGCCUGAUGCAGCAACGCCGCGUGAGUGAUGAAGGCCUUUGGGUCGUAAAACUCUGUCCUUGGGGAAGAAAAAAAUGACGGUACCCUUGGAGGAAGCCCCGGCUAACUACGUGCCAGCAGCCGCGGUAAUACGUAGGGGGCGAGCGUUAUCCGGAAUUAUUGGGCGUAAUGAGUGCGUAGGUGGUUUUGUAAGCGUAGGGUGAAAGGCAGUAGCUCAACUAUUGUUAGCCCUGCGAACUGUGAGACUUGAGUGCAGGAGAGGAAAGUGGAAUUCCUAGUGUAGCGGUGAAAUGCGUAGAUAUUAGGAGGAACACCAGUGGCGAAGGCGACUUUCUGGACUGUAACUGACACUGAGGCACGAAAGCGUGGGUAGCAAACAGGAUUAGAUACCCUUGUAGUCC
rnacentral:rRNA from 1 species